rnacentral:snRNA from 1 species
GUGCCACCACUGCCCAGCUAAAAUUACUGGAAUGCUACAGAGAAGUUUAGCAUGGCUACUGUGUGAGNGUGACACACAAACUUAUGAAAGUCACCUAUCUUAU